UGAAUAUCAAAAAAACAGUAAAGCAUUACAGCAGUGAGAGUAGCAGUGGUACGUCUAGUGGAAAAUGGGACGCGGACUGAUGCCCAGAGCCAGAUGGAGAAAACCACCAUCGGGAUCUUUGUAAUCAAACAUGAGGGUGCCAAUGCCUCCACUAGAAGAUGUAGACAUUAUAGUUGAAUCACUAACAAUGUAACGAAACUAAACAUGCUGUGUUUAGCAGAGAUAUUUUUCUGUUCAUUGCAUUUCUAUUUUACUAAUAAAUGUCCCUGAUGGAUUGAUGAGAAUGGAGACAAAGGUUGCUGCUAAAUAAAUGCAGAUUUGUUUUGAA